rnacentral:rRNA from 1 species
UACAGAGGGGGCAAGCGUUGUUCGGAAUUACUGGGCGUAAAGGGCGCGUAGGCGGCCUGCUAAGUCGAACGUGAAAUCCCUGGGCUCAACCCAGGAACUGCGUCCGAUACUGGUUGGCUUGAAUCCGGGAGAGGGACGUGGAAUUCCAGGUGUAGCGGUGAAAUGCGUAGAUAUGCGGAGGAACACCGAUGGCGAAGGCAAUCCCCUGGGCCUGCACUGACGCUCAUGCACGAAAGCGUGGGGAGCAAACAGG